rnacentral:lncRNA from 1 species
GAUGCAUUCGUGGGGCAUCAGAGGCAUGAAGGAAACAAGGAAGCUGUUAAAGACGGGAGCGUAAUGCAUGGAGUUGUUGCAUUCAAAACCGGGUCCAACUAGAAGAACGUUGGGCAGAACCACUCGCAGAUUAGUUGCUGAUUUCUUUGCUAUUUCUUAGUUAUCCUGUUAACGUUGCAGCUUGUAGCCGUUAGGAAACCAUUAUAAAUAAGCCAGGAGGCAUAGGAGUGGAGGGUAGAGAAAUAUUUCCUUUUGUACUCAUGGUUGUCUUCAACCUUGUUUCAUUCUUUUAAUAUAUCCAGUUUCCCUUUGUUCUGGUUAUUCACUACUCAAGCUCCAUCAUACCAUUGGUCGUUUUUAAGUGAAUUUAUGGCGGGUUUUCAAGGCAGACAGGAAGGAGAUAUGGGUUUCUUAGGAGCUUGUUAGCUUGCUCCCAUGGCCUUAUUAUUCUCUAAAGGGAUGGGAAAUGCCAGUCAAUGAGGAGGAAAAGCCCCAAGGGGAGUAGGGCUCAAGUGUGGAACGAUAGCAACAACCAUAGGUUCACAGAAUCCAAAGGAACCUCGGCCCGUCAGGAUUCUCCCUCGAUCUAUUACACUGUUGAUACCUCUGGUGUCUCGGUAGCUGGCUUUUUUUUUUUCUUCUGUUUUUUGGUUUUUGUUUCUUUUAACUUUUGAAGGGAGAGAGGGAACACUCAACCAUUCUGACUGGAGGUAAAUGGCAAGUCUUUCGAGUCAUGGGUCGCCCAGCACCCCAUAAUUAUGAUAUGAUUAAUUAGAUUUGCCCAAAUUCUUAUCCAAAAGCAUG